rnacentral:lncRNA from 1 species
AUGGAAAAUAACCAGCCAACCGGGCGACCCAAAGCUAAGAUUGGAGCGAAUUGGAAACGUUUCGCCCUCAUGAUGAUAUUUACCAGGAUAUUGACAGUGUUACCCUCAGGGGAGUUAGAUCACACAAAAAAUAUAUGGAUUCAAUUGGCAAACUCACUUAAUCUAUCUGAAUUCUGUUUAAGUGUUGAUGUAAAUUUUCAUUAUGUAUUAGGAAAUUGUCUUAUCCCGGUAUGCACCCCUUUAGAGUCAAUACGGCCUUAUACUUUAUUUAAAGAUAUUCCAGGAAAGAACCUUACUUAUGUAGAUAGUUAUAAUUGGGGACCUGUCACAUGUUAUAAGCCUAAAAAUGCUGUCAAAUUAUAUACAUCUAAAGUGAUCAUGUCAAAUAAGACUAAAUGUGCUGUGUAUGAAAAUUGUACAACUAAAUGUUUGAAGAUCAAACGGUUAAAAAAAAAAAAAAAAAAUAUAAUAAAAAAAAAAAAAAAAUCAAAGAGGAGAUAGAACAAUUAGAGGACCUGGCAAAUAAAGUACACAACAAAGAUGGUGGAGACCUGUUUAAAUGAUUAACCUCAUGGCUGCCCAACCUACAAUGGUUAAAACAAUUAUUCCUUGUCUUUAUAGUCAUAUGUAUUUGCUUAUUAGUAUCAUGCUGUUGUAUACAGUGGAUGCCUAUGUUUAUGCGUAAGAUUACUUAGGUUAUAGAAAAUCAGUGGGGAAUGUGGGACUGUGUGAUUCAAAAUUCAUUUAUUCCCCUUGCCUCUGUUCUGUUUAGAGUUAGUGGUCAGAAAUGUGCUUGCUAAGCAGAUAAAAUCUGUAACUAAGAGUUCUUAGUUAAAUCAUCCACCCUCUUGUUUGCCCGGAA